rnacentral:ncRNA from 1 species
AGACGAUAAAGGCAAACUUAUCGAAAGGUAAGGACGCAAAGCCAUGGGCCUAAUCCCGAAGGGAACGGUUGCCAGGCUGCCAAA